rnacentral:lncRNA from 1 species
AGAACCGAAGGUUUAACUUAAUUGAAAAUAUAAAAUUUUGACCAAUAUAUUUGAUUAAUAAAAUAAAUGAACACAAAACUAUGAAAUGUAUUAGAAUUAAACCAAACAAAGAAAAUAACUCAUCUUUUGGGGAAUCUAAUUAAGCGAAUUAACAAUUCUAAAGUUAGAGUUAAUGAUAAGAAAAACAAACAAAAGACAAUAAAAUAAUUUAAACGUAAAGGAGAAUUGAAUUUGGGCCCUUUUUGGGCCAAAUUCGCUGGUACUAUUGGGCUUAAUCCAAUUCUCGUUUUUGUAUACACCUGAUGUAUAUCAGUGUAUACCAGCGUGUGUAUAGGCUCUUUUCAUGUAUCUCUUGCUUCUGAACACCUGUAUUUCGCCUCAGUCCUGUAUUCCCACAUUUCCGACCUGUAUAUUGAUGUAUAAUGAAUGUAUACAGUGUAUAAUGAAUGUAUAUUGUCCAUCUUAGGACUUUUGGAGGCCUGUAUUUCGACUACAGCCUUGUACUCUUGUCCAUCCGUUUUCAAAACUCGAACAUGAUGACUGCCGACUCGAAAUGCAAGGAGUUAAUAUAGGAGUCCACAAUGUUUCAUUCAAGGGGAAAAAAAGAACAAGAAUUAGCAGAAGGGGAAUGUAGAAACCAAAUUUGAUUCAACUAAAAUAAGAAUAUCAUAGCAUUUACAGCUAGCAAAGAGGCUAUUCACAGUAUGGUCAAAACUCAAUAUAAUGUUAACAUUCUAACCAUGGUACAACACGACUUUGACUAAAUCAAAAACAGAUUCUACAAAGAACUAGAGGCAAAUAAAAUUAAUACGGCCAUAAUACUUAGAUUAUCCUAAACUUACACUAAUCUUGGAAGGCAUCAAGUGGAACGUUAGUACAAUCAUUUUUAUUUAGUCAAUUCUCAACUUUAUGGUCACAACUUUAAUAAACUUUAAACAAAUAAACAAUAGAUCAAUUAUAAGGAAAGGAGAAGACAAAACCAGUAGUUAUCAAAGUAUAACAGAAGCAAAUAUAAACUACUUUGAUAAUUGUUGAAGUGAAUCCCACGACCUCCUAAUUACCGACACCGUAAUCUAUAUGAGUUUAAACAACAAGGCUAACAAGAUAAGAAGAUUACUAAUAAGAAACAAAAAAUGAUCCAUUACAUUUUUUGCUUAAGCAUUUUCGACUAAAACUUAGACUAAAUAGACACAUAAAUUCAAUUUAAACAGGACAUGCUACACGAAUGAGAUAAUAAAUCCCAAGCAAUUUGAGAGAAAUGGAAGAAAGGGACAUUCAAAACCAACUUGAGUACGGAUAACAAGAUUCAAUUUUAGAGUGAUUUACGGGUGAAAAUGAUAAGGACGUACAACUGAGGAACUAACUAACACAAUAAGACAUUUUAAUAAGGAGAGUUUAGCACAAGAAAGAAAAACAAAAUGCUCCAGCGGGUUGGAAAUGACCAGCUUAUUGAUUCAAGUUAAUUCGAAUUACCUGAUAACAAAGGAUACGUAACCGACAUUAUUAAGUAAGAGAUUUAGAGGUGCAACAACCAUCAGGUGGAUUAUGGAACUUAGUCUUAAAGGCAACUCACACGACUUAUACUAGUUAGAAAAACAAGAAGAAAAUAAAACGAAACCGACUCAACGCCAUACGGGACUAGUAACUUCGAGCAAAACAAAUCAAAAGAACAGUUGAAUCGACAAACAAGCUUAUAUCAAAGUUUUGCAACAAAUAGUAAGUCACAACACCCCCAAAAUACCAACAUCUAAACACUACACAAUGAUCAAAAGCAAAUCGUCCUCACAUUAGGCACAAAAGAGGCGUGAAUCAAAAAUGAGUAUUACCUUUUAUGGGGCAAAGAACUGGACGACAACGAGCUUGAGAGCAGCGAUUCUUUUACCACGAACUUCGAAUAGGACCGGCAAACUAAGAAAAUCCAAGCGUCAAUCCUCUCGUAACUUAGAUUCAAAAAGCUAGAUGUAAAGUUUUCAAGUGUAUGAGUGAUUAUUGUCUAAGAACUAAACUCUAAAAAACUUAUUUAUCAUGUAUGACCUCAAGAUCCAAAAAAAUUUCCUCCCCUGCCUCAUUUUUAAUCACUGAGGGAGAGAACUAUUUAUAGGGAAAAAAAGGAGCAAUUUUGGGGGGAAGUCCGUUGGAAAUAUCCAAAUAAAAUUUGAAUUUCUCCUGCUAUUUUCGAAGCAAUAGUAAAGGGGAUGGGAAAAAGCUGAAUCCCGUGAAAAGAGGGAGGAGGGGGCGACGAAGGUGAUGGAUUAGGUUGCUAGGGUAUGGGUUCUGCAGGGUAGUUGGAUGAGAUUUUUGCAGCGUGAUUUCUGGGUUGCGUGAUUUGGUUCGCUGGCCGAGUUUCUGGGUUUCUGCGUUUGCGCGUGAAGUAGAAGACAUAGGGGUG